GGUUGAUCCUGCCAGUAAUCAUAUGCUUGUGUCAAAGAUUAAGCCAUGCAAGUCUUAGUACAGGUGGAAAAAGAACCGAAACUGCGGAUGGCUCAAUAAAUCAGUCUCAAUUAAUUUAGUGAUUAGAAAGAUAAAAGGAUAACCCUGCUAAUUGUAGAGCUAAUACAUGAAUAAAACGCAUAACUUUUAAAAAAAAGGAAUGUGGCAUUUGUCAGCUCGAUAAAGGAUAGAAAUAUGUAAAAAUAUUUUAAAACUUGUUAUUUAAAAAGUAAUACAUAGGAAGCAAAAAAGAA
rnacentral:rRNA from 1 species